UGUCUUAAGAUGGUGAUAUGAUCACCGAUU
rnacentral:sRNA from 1 species